GAUAAACGCUGGCGGCGCACAUAAGACAUGCAAGUCGAACGGACUUAACUCAUUCUUUUAGAUUGAGAGCGGUUAGUGGCGGACUGGUGAGUAACACGUAAGCAACCUGCCUAUCAGAGGGGAAUAACAGUGAGAAAUCAUUGCUAAUACCGCAUAAGCUAGUAGUAUCGCAUGAUAUAGCUAGAAAAGGAGCAAUCCGCUGAUAGAUGGGCUUGCGUCUGAUUAGCUAGUUGGUGGGGUAACGGCCUACCAAGGCGACGAUCAGUAGCCGGACUGAGAGGUUGAACGGCCACAUUGGGACUGAGAUACGGCCCAGACUCCUACGGGAGGCAGCAGUCGGGAAUAUUGCGCAAUGGAGGAAACUCUGACGCAGUGACGCCGCGUAUAGGAAGAAGGUUUUCGGAUUGUAAACUAUUGUCGUGAGGGAAGAAAUUGACAGUACCUCAGGAGGAAGCUCCGGCUAACUAUGUGCCAGCAGCCGCGGUAAUACAUAGGGAGCAAGCGUUAUCCGGAUUUAUUGGGUGUAAAGGGUGCGUAGACGGGAAAUUAAGUUAGUUGUGAAAUCCCUCGGCUUAACUGAGGAACUGCAACUAAAACUGAUUUUCUUGAGUACUGGAGAGGAAAGUGGAAUUCCUAGUGUAGCGGUGAAAUGCGUAGAUAUUAGGAGGAACACCAGUGGCGAAGGCGACUUUCUGGACAGUAACUGACGUUGAGGCACGAAAGUGUGGGGAGCAAACAGGAUUAGAUACCCUGGUAGUCCACACUGUAAACGAUGGAUACUAGGUGUAGGAUGUAUUAAGCAUUCUGUGCCGCCGCUAACGCAUUAAGUAUCCCACCUGGGGAGUACGACCGCAAGGUUGAAACUCAAAGGAAUUGACGGGGGCCCGCACAAGCAGUGGAGUAUGUGGUUUAAUUCGAAGCAACGCGAAGAACCUUACCAGGGCUUGACAUAAACAGGAAUAAGCUAGAGAUAGCUUAGCUCUUCGGAGUCUGUUUACAGGUGGUGCAUGGUUGUCGUCAGCUCGUGUCGUGAGAUGUUGGGUUAAGUCCCGCAACGAGCGCAACCCCUGCUUUUAGUUGCCAGCACGUAAUGGUGGGAACUCUAGAAGGACUGCCGGUGAUAAAUCGGAGGAAGGUGGGGACGACGUCAAAUCAUCAUGCCCUUUAUGUCCUGGGCUACACACGUACUACAAUGGCCGCAACAGAGGGAAGCAAAAUAGUGAUAUGGAGCAAAACCCUAAAAACGGUCUCAGUUCGGAUUGAAGGCUGAAAUUCGCCUUCAUGAAGCUGGAAUUGCUAGUAAUGGCAGGUCAGCAUACUGCCGUGAAUACGUUCCCGGGCCUUGUACACACCGCCCGUCACACCAUGAGAGUUGGGAAUACCCGAAGCCUGUGAGCUAACUUUUAGAGGCAGCAGUCGAAGGUAGAAUCAAUGAUUGGGGUGAAGUCGUAACAAGGUAGCCGUAUCGGAAGGUGCGGCUGGAUCACCUCCUUUCUAAGGAGAAUUUAAAUCUUAAAUGAUAUUGUUUAUUUUUCAAUGUACUUUAAAUAGUACAUUAAAAAAUAGAGUGAAGCUCAUACAAAAGAUUAGAACUACGAAGACUCUAAUAAUAUGGGCUCAUAGCUCAGAUGGUUAGAGCGCACGCCUGAUAAGCGUGAGGUCGAUGGUUCGAUUCCAUUUGAGCCCACCAAACUGAUAUUUAAUAUCAGUAAAGUACAUUGAAAAAUAUAUAGAUAAAUAUGAUGAAAUUAAGGUAAACUAGCAUACGAAAGUAUGCACAAUUGAACCAAAACAAAGUUGUAAAGUUGCAAAACUAAACAAUGAUGGACAAUUAACCGAAAGGUUAAGCUACUAAGAGCGUAGGGUGAAUGCCUUGGCACCAAGAGCCGAUGAAGGACGUGAUAAGCUGCGAUAAGCUAUGGGUAGGAGCAAAUAUCCGAUAAUCCAUAGAUUUCCGAAUGAGGGAACUCAACUAGUGGAAGAAUACUAGUUAUCCAUGUGUAAGUAAAGUAGCACAUGUGAGGGGAACGUGGGGAACUGAAACAUCUCAGUACCCACAGGAAAAGAAAGAAAAAUCGAUUCCUUGAGUAGUGGCGAGCGAAAGAGGAAGAGCCUAAACCUAUCGUAGUAAUAUGAUAGGGGUUUGGACUACAUAAUUGAUUCAUGAAGAUUAGCAGAAUUACUUGGAAAAGUAGACCAUAGAUAGUGAAAGUCUAGUAUGUGAAAAUCUGAUUGACAUGGUAGUAUCCAGAGUAGUGCGAGACACGUGAAAUCUCGUAUGAACACGCGGGGACCAUCCCGUAAGGCUAAAUACUACUUGGUGACCGAUAGUGGAGC
rnacentral:rRNA from 1 species